CUGUGGAAGGAAAAUAAAUUGGAACACUAAAAUUCUGAUUCUAAUGUAUCCUUAAUGGGGCUCGCGGGUAUAAAUCAAUUUUUUAUAGAAUAAUCCAAUUUCACUACUUUUGUCUAUAAAUAAACUUUUUUCCUAAUAGAAAAAUAAAAUAAAAAUAUGGUGUCAAUGUUCAUUUAAGCUCACAAUCUCCCUUCAAAAGAAGCAUGCAUUUUUUUUAGGUAUUUGUUUUCUGUUGAACUAGUAGGAAGAAAAAGGUAAUAUAGAAAUAAACCAGGUGCUCCGCAGGGCGCAGCUUUAUACGACCGCAGAGGUCGAACCCUGAACAGUUGGGCCAAGUAUGGACAAAACAUUCAAGCGUGAUACAGCUCUGAAUUUGGAUUGUGAUCAAAUUUUUGACAUUACAUGGGUUUUUUUACACAAAACAAAUGUCAAGAUUUUACAAAUCAAUUAAAGAUUUCUUCUUAUUUAAAUCUAAAAUUAAAUAGUUGACACAGCAUAGGUUUCUGACACAGAAUGAAUGUGGUCUAAUGAACUUAAAAGUUUUUUUUUGCCUUUGAGCAAUUCACUAUGCUGUUGAAUAUUAAUCCUCUCAAAAAAAAUGUUUGAAGAAAUUUUCUUUUUAUUUAUGAAAUCUGAAAUGAGAAAAAAUUUAACCCCCCCCCUUUUUUUCACAUCCCCGUUUCCCUUUUUCCAAAACUGAUAUCAAUUCAAAUUUCUAAUGGAGUUUGCAACAAUAACUACUCUUUUAAAUACAUCAUAAAAUAUUAAAAUGUAAAAUAAAGUGCUUGUUAUCACUGAAUGGUAAAAAUUGGUUGGUAGUAAAAGUGAAUAUACAUUGUUUAUUGUAUAAAACAAUAAAAAAAACUUCAUCAGCAACAUUUUAUAUUGGCAAAUUUCCAAUGAAGUUAUUUACAUAAAGUUAUUGGCAAAUAAAAAUAGAAAAUGACAUCAUAGUCAUGUCUGGCAAAUUUCCAACAUACAUUAUCUAAAAACAUUUUAGAUAAGAUAAG
rnacentral:lncRNA from 1 species